rnacentral:rRNA from 1 species
UACGUAGGUGGCAAGCGUUGUCCGGAUUUACUGGGCGUAAAGAGCGCGCAGGCGGUCGGAUAAGUCGAAUGUGAAAGCCCCCGGCUCAACUGGGGAGGGUCAUUCGAUACUGUUCGACUCGAAGGCAGGAGAGGGAAGUGGAAUUCCCGGUGUAGUGGUGAAAUGCGUAGAUAUCGGGAGGAACACCAGUGGCGAAGGCGGACUUCCUGGCCUGUUCUUGACGCUGAGGCGCGAAAGCUAGGGGAGCAAACGGG